UGCCUUUCUUGUAAAACUGGCAUAGUUAGGGUUCAGACGGUUGAAUUUGUUCGAAUCGUCUUCGUCAUUGUCUUAUUACUUUUGCAUUUGGGCUGGUUGGUAGACUUUGUUCCUUGUUCUCUUUCAUUUUAAUUUGAACACUUACUUUCCAGGUGGUUAUUGAUUUUCGUUCUUAGAAUUCUUUCCUUAUUAACAAAUGUAUCGCCACGGCAUGCUAAGACUAAAGUUCAAUAUCAAUGUUAUAGUAGCAAGCCUUUGGAUACCAUGACCUUGAAACCUUCUUCGUCUUUAAUCUGAAAAGAUAAUUUCUUCCAGGGAGAAAAAAGUUAGUAAUUGGCAAGAAUGUUAACAGAUAUUGACAAUUUGGAAACUUACAGCUCGUUUGGAUUGAGAGAUUUCGAGAGAAAAGAAAAGAAAUGGAGGGAGAAGUGUUUCUUUCGCAUGUUUGGAUGAUUAAAAUGGCAAGAGAGGGUGAGAAAUGGGGAGAAUGAGAAACCCCUUACUUGCCCAUUUCAUUUCUCACCAGUUGUGGCGAGAUUCCGUGAGAAAGGAACCGAGUUGCCAAUUUUGACCCCAAAGUCUUCUUCGUGCGUCCGUCGGGCCCAGUGGGAGAAGUUCAACUGCAUAUAGGUCUCUCUUUUUUCUUGGUUCAUUGUGGUAACUGGUAAGAAAAGCUAGUGCUGAAAUUCUAUUUCUUUGAUUAGCUUUCGUCGAUUCUUGCAAAUUGCCGCCUCAAAAGAUUUGGGGGUAAAAAAUACCAAUUAACAAUAGGAAAUAAGAAGUCUUGAUGGAGGUAUAAUUAGAUGUGUUUGUAGUUUAUUGAUUCCAAAUCUUUGCAGUGGAUGGAGGUGGUGUUAGAGCUAAAAGAUGCGGAUGAUUGGAUUUAUAGAGGGGAAGGAGCUGCCAAUCUUGUUCUUGCCUACUCCGGAUCCUCUCCUACAUUUGUUGGAAAGGUACUGCUCAUACAAAAGGCUCCUAGGAUUGAAUCUCCCAGAAACGGAUAUGAUAGCGAGGAUGGUCAUUCAGCUCUGAUGAAUGAUGAGUGCCUUCUGUGGAGAGAAACUGAAGACCUUGUAUCAGCACCAACCAGGGAAAUAGGAAAGCAACUGUAUGUACAGCAUGUUAUCAGUCCACUGUUAGGUUAUGAACAUGUUGAUGCUGGGAUUCGUGUCUUUUUGUCCAAGGAAUUUCUGGGGGCGGUUGAAAAGAAUAUCCUUUCCCAGCGUCCUUCUCAGCGAGUUGAUGCAGCCAUGGUCAACGCUCAAUGUUAUAUUGCACUUCUUAUGUCCGAUUCCAGCUGUAUUGUUGAAUACUUCUUUUCCCCCAGGUAAUCUCCAAGAGGAAUUCUGCAUAUCUAUUGAGAUAAAGGUGCUUUCCCUUGAUCCCGUCGGGCCAAAAUGUGGAUUUCUUCCAGUUCCAAGAUUUAUAUCGGAAGAAAAUGACAUAAAAAAGAGUAUAACUCGUUUUUAAAUGCACCAGUCAAUAAAAUUGCAUCAAAGAGAGGUAUUUUUGUUGCUAUGAUUUCUUAUUUUCUUUUGUCUCGGGUCAUGCUAUAAUUGGAGUGAUCUCUCAAUUCAAGUCCAUAGCUAAAUCGGCAUUAAUGCUGCCAUGCAUACCUUCGGUUGAAUGGGAAUCCGUUGUGUCCUUGUGAGCUUGAUUUCAUCCAAGAAUAUAAUGCAAUCCAAUAAUCUAUUUAUCUUUCACUUUUGUCUUUGCUGAAAUUUUUUGUUUUCUCUUAGAUAUCAGAAAGAAGCGAAUACAAUCCACUGGAUUUUAUGUGGCAAUUCAUUGGAAACUAUAGAU